CGCUGGGGCUGGAGCGGGACGUGUCCCGGGCGGUUGAGCUCCUCGAGCGGCUCCAGCGCAGCGGGGAGCUGCCGCCGCAGAAGCUGCAGGCCCUCCAGCGAGUUCUGCAGAGCCGCUUCUGCUCCGCUAUCCGAGAGGUGUAUGAGCAGCUUUAUGACACGCUGGACAUCACCGGCAGCGCCGAGAUCCGAGCCCAUGCCACAGCCAAGGUGGGCCCCGCACCCCAUUGCUCCUGGUGUCUAUUUAACUGCCUAGUCGAACUCAAUAUCUCCUUCAUGCCAGUCAUUUCUGUUUCCUCCCUCAUGAUUUUUGCUAAAUCUAUGUGCCACCUUACUAUUAGUAAAUAAUCGCACAUUUUUAACUUAAA
rnacentral:lncRNA from 1 species